AACGAACGCUGGCGGCAGGCUUAACACAUGCAAGUCGAACGAAGUCUUCGGACUUAGUGGCGGACGGGUGAGUAACACGUGGGAACGUACCUUUUGGUUCGGAACAACUCAGGGAAACUUGAGCUAAUACCGGAUGAGCCCUUAGGGGGAAAGAUUUAUCGCCGAAAGAGCGGCCCGCGUUAGAUUAGCUAGUUGGUGAGGUAAAGGCUCACCAAGGCUACGAUCUAUAGCUGGUCUGAGAGGAUGAUCAGCCACACUGGGACUGAGACACGGCCCAGACUCCUACGGGAGGCAGCAGUGGGGAAUCUUGCGCAAUGGGCGAAAGCCUGACGCAGCCAUGCCGCGUGAAUGAUGAAGGUCUUAGGAUUGUAAAAUUCUUUUACCAGGGACGAUAAUGACGGUACCUGGAGAAAAAGCCCCGGCUAACUUCGUGCCAGCCGCCGCGGUAAGAC
rnacentral:rRNA from 1 species